AUCACAUCACUAUACUAUACGAAGCAAGGUCAACACACACAAGAUAUCUUUUCGUUAUCUGCCUUCACUGAGCAUAACAGUUUCCUAGAAAACCUGUAUCACUAGGCUGCUUAGCUGGCUCUGGAUCAGUUACUCGGGGGUUUCCGGUCAGGCUGUGACCGGAAACCCCCUGCGACGGGGUCGUUCAUUAAAAUACAGAUUAGAAAAAUAUCUACUGACCUUUAAUGUCAAUUUAUUGUCAAUUUAUUCUAAACUGUUCUGUCAAUAUGUCAGGAUCCUGUAGUAAAGAUGACUCUGGUUUUCCAGUGAUGUGACUGGACUGCGGCUGCUGUUAAAAUGCUGUUUCCGUUGCAGUAUUUAGAAAUUAAAUCCCACUGGACACUAAAUGCGAUACAAUACCAGGGUCUCUGGGGAAAAUCAACUUGGUCCUACCGUUGGAAAAGGUGCUCAGGAGGAACGCUGGCAUAAGCACUACCCUGGCGAAGCCCACGGAGAAACGGGACGGUGAUGGCUGGCCGUAAAGGUUUCCGCCAGGGGACACGAAAACAGGGUGCGUCUCCAUUCAUCCCUCGUUUCCUCUCCUCGAGAAGAGAUCAACGGAGUGCAGCAGUUCACAUCUGCAGAAACAACUCGCUUCUUCGACUGUGCGCCUGCAGCCCAGCAUGCCAGGAAUUACGUAAGAGGACUGAUGGAGCAGAAUUUGAUUAUAGGCUGAAGAUCUAUUUAAGGGGUAGAGGAUGACAAAAGGUCUGCAGAUGGCUGGAGCUGCCAGAAGAAAAAAAAAAAGGCAAGCUUCUUCAAUUUAUUUGAAUGAUGGGAGAGACACGUUUUAAAUGUGUGUCUCAUAUAUUUGUGUGUGUGUGUAUUUGUGUGUUAAGGGGUAUCAGUGCUUUGUAGAUUUUAUAUGUCUGAUGUGAUACACUUUCUUGUUUGGAUGCUAGCCCCCUCCCACUCUGUAUGACUUGUUGAGUGUAUUUCCUUGUUGUUACUGUAUGUUUUUGUAUAUGCAAAUGUGUCUGUGUGUGUGUGUC